AUAGGAAAUUAAGAGUAUAUGGUGGAUGCCUAGACUAAAAAAGGCGAUGAAAGACGUAGCAUGGCAGCGAUAUUUUUCGGGGAGGUGCCUAGCAACCUAUGAUCCGGAAGUUUCUGAAUGGGGAAACCCAAUUACGUAAACCGUAAUUAUCUUGAUACUUGAUAUCAAGAUGCAUACCCAGGGAAGUAAAACAUUUCAUUACCUGGAGGAAAAGAGAAAAAUAUUUAUUUUCUGAGUAGCGGCGAGCGAAAAGGAAAAAGCCCAAACCGGCAUAUCACACAGAGUACGAUUUUAUAAAUCGCAAGUUGUGUGAUUUGCCGGGGUUGUAAGGUGACAAUGUAGAUUUAUCUAGAGGAGUUACAAAAUGUGUUGUUAGAUUAAACUUCUGGAAAGAAGUGCCGUAGACGGUGAUAGCCCGGUGAUCGAAAAUAACAUGUCUCUUUGAUUGUCAUUCUUGAGUAGCUCAAGACACGAAUAGCUUGAGCGAAUCCGCCAGAACUAACUGGCAAGGCUAAAUACUUUUUUAGAUCGAUAGUGAACUAGUACCGUGAGGGAAAGGUGAAAAGAACCCCGAUGAGGGGAGUGAAAUAGACCUGAAACCAUAUACUUACAAGGAGUCGGAGCGGUCAGCACUAAGUUUUUAAUUUUUUGAAAAUUUAGUGCUGGCCGUCACGGCGUGCCUAUUGAAGAAUGAGCCAACGAGUUUAUCUAUGCUGCAGGCUAAGCUGUUAGAACAGUGGAGCCUUAGGGAAACCGAGUGUUAAUAGCGCGAACAAUUGAUGUAGUCUAGAUAAGACCCGAAGCGAGGUGAGCUUGCCAUGGGCAGGAUGAACCCUGUCGAAAGAUGGGGGGAGGUCCGAACCGGUUAGCCGUGCAAUACUAUCGGAUGACCUGUGGUAAGGAGUGAAAAGCUAAUCGAACCUCGUAAUAGCUGGUUCUCUCCGAAAUAGCUUUAGGGCUAGCGUCGUGUGUUCCUCUUGGGGGUAGAGCACUGGAAGGUUUCGACAGGGAGCAAUCUCGCGACACCUAUCAAACUCCGAAUACCAAGAGCUAAAAUACGGCAGUUAGGCUAUGGGGGCGAAGCUCCAUCAGCCAAAAGGGAAACAGCCCAGAUCUCUAAUUAAGGUCCCUAAAUUUACGUUAAGUGCAAAACAAGGAGGUGAGAUUUCUCUGACAGUGAGGAUGUUGGCUUAGAAGCAGCCAUCAUUUAAAGAAAGCGUAACAGCUCACUCACUAAGAGAUCUCGCACCGAAAAUAAUCGGGGCUAAACGUAGUACCGAAAUUGAGGAUUUAAAGUUUUUUCGAAAAUUUUAAGUGGUAGGAGAGUAUUCCAUACAGCGUCGAAGCUAAAGGGGUGACCCAUAGUGGAGCGUAUGGAAGUAAGAAUGUUGGCACAAGUAACCGCAAGGAAGGUGAGAUCCCUUCCCGCCGAAAGAUCAAGGUUUCCUGGGCAAUGGUGAUCAUCCCAGGGUUAGUCGGUCCUAAGGGAAUGGCGAAAGCCGCACUCGAUGGACAGCUGGUUAAUAUUCCAGCACUUCUGUUGUAUUCGAAGAUGGGACGGAGUGUAGUAUAUAAAGCUCAUUAUUGGAUUUGAGUUUGUACUGUGAGGAUACAUCCUAGGAAAAUCCGGGAUGCGCCACUUUAGUGUGGAAUACCCAAGCAGCGCAUAAAUGUGUGGGUUCGCCCAUGUAGAUUUUAUAAAGCACGCUUCCAAGAAAAGCAUCUAAGGUUAAUACAAUAGAACCCGUACCGCAAACCGACACAGGUGAUCAGGUCGAGUAGACCAAGGCGAACGAGUGAGAGGUCUUCAAGGAACUCGGCAAAAAAGCAGCCGUAACUUUGGAAUAAGGCUUGCCGUUCUUAAUUUAUUAAGAUCGGCCGCAGCGAAAGUAUCUCUGGCAACUGUUUAUCAAAAACACAGCUCCCUGCGAACUCGCAAGAGGAUGUAUAGGGGGUGACGCCUGACCAAUGCGAGAAGGUCAACUAUCGACGUUGUAUAGUAGCAAUAUUAUAUGGUGAUUGAUAUAAGCCCUCGUGAAUGUCGGCCGUAACUAUAACGGUCCUAAGGUUUUGCAUUUGAGUGCAAACUCGAAUGUAAAACGGACUAGGACAGGUUAUAGAAAAAGAUAAACAAUUAAUAAAAAUUUCAGGAACCAUUUCAGCUACCUAGUAUUAUAGUAAUGUAGUAUUAGUCCAUACUUGAUGAACGAGAGACCAACGUCAAGCAUCCUAAUCUGUAAAGAUGGAUGAAGAUAGAGUCCUUCUUAGGGGUACAGAAGAGCGAAGUACCUUGUCGGGUAAGUUCCGACGCGCACGAAUGGCGUAAUGACUGGAGAACUGUCUCGAAGACCUGCUCGGUGAAAAUACAAUACCGGUGAAGAUGCCGGUUACCUGCAGAUAGACGAAAAGACCCUAGAAGCUUUACUGCAGCUUGAUAUUGAGCAUGUGAUUGCAUUACGUAGCAUAGUUGGGAGAGGUUAUACGUACGAUUUCGGUUGUGCGGUACUCGUCAGUGAAAUACCAAUUUUUGUGACUAUAUGUUCUAAUCUCUACGGCAAAAACGCAGAGAGACAGUAUCUGGUGGGUAGUUUUACUGGGGCGGUAUCCUCCUAAAGAGUAACGGAGGAGUUUAUUAAGGUUAGCUAGGCGCGAAUGGAAACCGUGCCGAUAGUGUAAUGGCACAAGCUAGCUUAACUGUAAGGCGUACUGGCCGAGCAGAUACGAAAGUAGAACAUAGUGAACCGACAUUUCGCAUUAGAUGCGGAUGAAGAUUAACGGAUAAAAGCUACUCUAGGGAUAACAGGCUAGUUCCGCCUAAGAGUUCAUAUCGACGGCGGAGUUCGGCACCUCGAUGUCGGC
rnacentral:rRNA from 1 species